AACGCACCUUGCGCUCCUUGGUAUUCCGAGGAGCAUGCCUGUUUGAGUGUCAUUAAUAUAUCAACCUCUUUAAAUUUUGAGAGUGUUUGGAUGUGGGGGUGUUAUUUUGCUGGCCUUCUCCAAGGUCAGCUCCCCUGAAAUGUAUUAGCGGAACAAUUUGUUGACCGUUCAUUGGUGUGAUAGCAUAUCUACGCUAUUGACGUGAAGCAAGUUCAGCUUAUAACAGUCCAUUGACUUGGACAAUUCUUUAUUUAUUAAUGUGACCUCAAAUCAGGUAGGACUACCCGCUGAACUUAA
rnacentral:misc_RNA from 1 species